GGAUGAACGCUGGCGGCGUGCUUAACACAUGCAAGUCGAACGGAAAGGCUCCUGCUUGCAGGGGUACUCGAGUGGCGAACGGGUGAGUAACACGUGGGUGAUCUGCCCUGCACUUCGGGAUAAGCCUGGGAAACUGGGUCUAAUACCGGAUAGGACGAUGGUUUGGAUGCCAUUGUGGAAAGUUUUUCGGUGUGGGAUGAGCUCGCGGCCUAUCAGCUUGUUGGUGGGGUAAUGGCCUACCAAGGCGUCGACGGGUAGCCGGCCUGAGAGGGUGUACGGCCACAUUGGGACUGAGAUACUGCCCAGACUCCUACGGGAGGCAGCAGUGGGGAAUAUUGCACAAUGGGCGCAAGCCUGAUGCAGCGACGCCGCGUGGGGAAUGACGGCCUUCGGGUUGUAAACUCCUUUCGCUAGGGACGAAGCGCAAGUGACGGUACCUGGAGAAGAAGCACCGGCUAACUACGUG
rnacentral:rRNA from 1 species